rnacentral:rRNA from 1 species
CCUACGGGAGGCAGCAGUGGGGAAUAUUGGACAAUGGGGGGAACCCUGAUCCAGCGACGCCGCGUGAGUGAAGAAGUAUUUCGGUAUGUAAAGCUCUAUCAGCAGGGAAGAAAGAAAUGACGGUACCUGACUAAGAAGCCCCGGCUAACUACGUGCCAGCAGCCGCGGUAAUACGUAGGGGGCAAGCGUUAUCCGGAUUUACUGGGUGUAAAGGGAGCGUAGACGGCAGUGCAAGUCUGGAGUGAAAGGCGGGGGCUCAACCCCCGGACUGCUCUGGAAACUGUACGGCUGGAGUGCAGGAGAGGUAAGUGGAAUUCCUAGUGUAGCGGUGAAAUGCGUAGAUAUUAGGAGGAACACCAGUGGCGAAGGCGGCUUACUGGACUGUAACUGACGUUGAGGCUCGAAAGCGUGGGGAGCAAACAGGAUUAGAUACCCCAGUAGUC